UUGAACGCUGGCGGCAUGCCUUACACAUGCAAGUCGAACGGUAACAGGUCUUCGGAUGCUGACGAGUGGCGAACGGGUGAGUAAUACAUCGGAACGUGCCCGAUCGUGGGGGAUAACGCAGCGAAAGCUGUGCUAAUACCGCAUACGAUCUACGGAUGAAAGCAGGGGACCGCAAGGCCUUGCGCGGACGGAGCGGCCGAUGGCAGAUUAGGUAGUUGGUGGGAUAAAAGCUUACCAAGCCGACGAUCUGUAGCUGGUCUGAGAGGACGACCAGCCACACUGGGACUGAGACACGGCCCAGACUCCUACGGGAGGCAGCAGUGGGGAAUUUUGGACAAUGGGGGAAACCCUGAUCCAGCCAUGCCGCGUGCAGGAUGAAGGCCUUCGGGUUGUAAAGCUCUUUCGGCAGGAACGAAACGGUAAGGGCUAAUAUCCUUUGCUAAUGACGGUACCUGAAGAAGAAGCACCGGCUAACUACGU
rnacentral:rRNA from 1 species